rnacentral:rRNA from 1 species
GGGCCCGCACAAGCGGUGGAGUAUGUGGUUUAAUUCGAUGCAACACGAAGAACCUUACCAGGGUUUGAAAUCAUUUCAAAACUCCUUGAAAGAGGAGCCUCCUUCGGGAUGAAAUGACAGGUGGUGCAUGGCUGUCGUCAGCUCGUGUUGUGAAAUGUCGAGUUAAGUCUCGUAACGAGCGCAACCCAUGUCUCUUGUUGCUCACUGAGUGCUUAAGAGAGACUGCCGACCAACAUCGGAGGAAGGUGAGGACGACGUCAAGUCAUCAUGGCCCUUACGAGUAGGGCUACACACGUGCUACAAUGGGGAAUACAGACGGACGCUAAGCCGCGAGGUGGUGCU